AGAAUUUGAUCCCCAAAAAAUAAUUAACCUAAAACCACCCUAUCCCUACCUUCUUCUUCUUUUUAUCCAAAAAGAACCUUAGAACACCAAGACCCUAGACACAAGCAGCCACCGCCGCCCCUAUCCGCCUUACCAGACCGCCGCCAGACAGACCUCGUCUCCUGUCAACCACCCUAGCUGAAACCUAAUAGGACCUAAGAGAGGCCACCCCGACCUCACUUCAGAAUCAGCAAGCCGCCGUCAACCAGCCAUCAAAUGACUAAGACCACGCUCCAGCCACAAAAACUCCACCAACACCAAGGUACCAAGACCACAGCUGCUUCCCGCCAGCCUUCCACCAAGCAGCGCCUCCAAGCUCCCUCAUCUACACUUUUACUACCAGUGACAUCGACCACCACGCUCACAAAAGACCAACUAGAAAAGUCAUAGCCUAUCACCUCAAUCGUCAGAAUUGAUCGCCAGCAAGUGACGACGCAUUGAGUAGCAGAUUCAAACAGACCAAUGAAUGCCCAUUUCCUCAAUUCUCCAACCCCCAACCUUGAUUUCACACACAAACGGACCAGCAAUAACUUCACCCCUUCAACACCAUCAAGUCGUCGUCUCUUACAGCCCUAUUGCCGCCGCCAGUAGCAAAAACCAAAUGGACUAGCGACAAUUUUAAAAACAAAGAGGAGAAAUGGACAGAUCCGAAAGAACAAAUACGAAUUAAGAGAAGCUAAUCCGAGGUUGCCGCUCGAAGGUUUCCGGUACAACUUUGCAAAUUCAAAGGAUAGAAUUUUUCAUCUAACUUGCUGUCCAAGUUUAGCGUUUGAUAAGAUUUAGUUAAUUAACACAUUUUGCAUAUUGUAUAUUUCCUAUUUCACGCCUCAACUUUGAUGUUCGGCUAAAAUUGCACGAGUUUUUUUCUCUAGAUUUGACUAUGCAUUUUUCAAUGUCAUUUGACUGUCUUCAUAUGUUAAUUAAGCCAUUGAACUGUUUCAGUG
rnacentral:lncRNA from 1 species